AGUGGGACUUGGUCCAACCCAGCCCAGACUUCAGCUACACAGCCGUGACUGAGUCGGGGGCCAAGCUCUCU
rnacentral:pre_miRNA from 14 species